rnacentral:rRNA from 1 species
UAGGGAAUCUUCCGCAAUGGGCGAAAGCCUGACGGAGCAACGCCGCGUGAGUGAUGAAGGUCUUCGGAUCGUAAAACUCUGUUAUUAGGGAAGAACAUAUGUGUAAGUAACUGUGCACAUCUUGACGGUACCUAAUCAGAAAGCCACGGCUAACUACGUGCCAGCAGCCGCGGUAAUACGUAGGUGGCAAGCGUUAUCCGGAAUUAUUGGGCGUAAAGCGCGCGUAGGCGGUUUUUUAAGUCUGAUGUGAAAGCCCACGGCUCAACCGUGGAGGGUCAUUGGAAACUGGAAAACUUGAGUGCAGAAGAGGAAAGUGGAAUUCCAUGUGUAGCGGUGAAAUGCGCAGAGAUAUGGAGGAACACCAGUGGCGAAGGCGGCUUUCUGGUCUGUAACUGACGCUGAUGUGCGAAAGCGUGGGGAUCAAACAGGAUUAGAUACCCUGGUAGUCCACGCCGUAAACGAUGAGUGCUAAGUGUUAGGGGGUUUCCGCCCCUUAGUGCUGCAGCUAACGCAUUAAGCACUCCGCCUGGGGAGUACGACCGCAAGGUUG